AUUGAACGCUGGCGGCAGGCUUAACACAUGCAAGUCGAGCGGAGCGAGGGUGCUUGCACCUUAGCUUAGCGGCGGACGGGUGAGUAAUGCUUAGGAAUCUGCCUAUUAGUGGGGGACAACAUUCCGAAAGGAGUGCUAAUACCGCAUACGCCCUACGGGGGAAAGCAGGGGAUCUUCGGACCUCGCGCUAAUAGAUGAGCCUAAGUCGGAUUAGCUAGUUGGUGGGGUAAAGGCCUACCAAGGCGACGAUCUGUAGCGGGUCUGAGAGGAUGAUCCGCCACACUGGGACUGAGACACGGCCCAGACUCCUACGGGAGGCAGCAGUGGGGAAUAUUGGACAAUGGGCGGAAGCCUGAUCCAGCCAUGCCGCGUGUGUGAAGAAGGCCUUUUGGUUGUAAAGCACUUUAAGCGAGGAGGAGGCUACUUAGAUUAAUACUCUGGGAUAGUGGACGUUACUCGCAGAAUAAGCACCGGCUAACUCUGUGCCAGCCGCCGCAGUAAUAC
rnacentral:rRNA from 1 species